GUAAGCUGUUUUCUCAGAAGAAAAUGGAGGGGGGAAGUUCUAGUGAUAUCCUGUCCUCUUUGCAGCAUUUUUUUUUCUAACUGGAAAUGAUUUUAUUUUGGGAAGUAUUCUUUAGAACAAACGACAUGUUCAAUGUAAAGUAUGUAGUCCCCUUUUUUUAUUUUUAUUUUGUUGUCAGCAUAAAGCUGGAUUUUGAUAUUGCUCACCAAGGAGAAUGUCUGUCCUACACACAUGGCUGCAAAUCCAUGCUGAAAGGAACGGCGAUCUGCUCAUGGGGUGGAGGAGAGUGCUUUUUGUUCCGAGUUCUGCAAGUCAAACUCCUACAUGUUCUCCUUAAGAUUUUGUGGCUACACAUCUGGGUUAAAAUAGUAGAUUCAACUUCAGCUGAAAGGAGAUGCUGGAUUUCUGUGACAACACUUGCUGAUACUACCCAUGGGGCAUAAGUCUCAAGGAAUCUGUGCCCAGGUUACAGCUGGAAAGGCAGCACUGCUGGAAGACAACUCAACUGGAAGAGGUUGAACCAUGUGUCAAUGAAUUUGCUCCAAGAGUCAACUAAAAGGUGGAUUUUUGUCAUCAUCCCCCUUCCUUUUCCUAUUGUUAUAUUUUCAUGUCUUGUUUUCCUUUCUCCCCACACACCCAAUCAGCUGAAUUCAAAACAGAAGUCUCCAGAAACUACUUUUUUGGUGAACGUUCUUUGAGAUUUACAAUAAUCAGCUGAUGCUGAGGUGAAAUACUUUCAGCCUCUCUCUACAAUGUAUUUUUCACUCUAGCCACAUCUGAGCUUGCUUGGAUUAUGGCAAAGCUGCUGGGUGAGAUUUGCUACAGCAAUGUCCCCAGAUUUUGCUGCCACAAAGCUGGUUCAGGGUUGAAUGAACUGGCAUUACUUGAAUUGUUUACAUCUCAAAUAGUUGGAGAAGUACUUGGGAAAACAUUUAUACACAUAGGGAAAACUCAAAUUGUUCCAGAAACUAUUGCUUCUCUUGACAUGAAUGACCCCUCGUAUGAGUAAUAACUAGCUAGACACCAAACUAGAUGGAAGUGCGCAGAAUAAGCCAGGUCCACGAACAGUGCAGCAAACCAUGUCGCUACCAGUAACCUCUUUCCAAGAAAAGCCUUACAAAAUCUGUAAUGGCUUCACUAACAUUUACCAUAAUAAAAAUGUCUCCACCAGUCCACAGUUUGCUUUAGGUGAUGCAGUGGCAAUGACUCUGUGGCUUUCUGUCACUGAUGAACAAAACAGAGGAGCUGUUCCCCUUCCUGCUACCUCGAAGUAGAAAAAGAUGGUGAGAAUAGUGCAUCCCUUCACCCUUGAAGGCUCAGAUAUCAAUUUUAACUUUAAUCAUCAAGGUGAAACUGACCACUUAUUCUAAGGGUAGGUGUUUUCCUGUAUGUUUCCUUUUGGACUAACUUCACCUCCUUCUGGUAUUUCAUACUGUUAACAAUUAAUAAUGUAUGCUGAACUCUGCAUUGUCUUACAUCAUCAUUGUGAGGAUGAAGAUCCAAGAGGAGGAUCCCAUUAUCUGUGGCAGGAGCUGUGAAUGAUGCUUUCUCUGUUCCUGGAAAAAAUCACAACCACCACUCUUUCCUACCAGUAUCCCUGAGAUGCAGUGGGUAGGCAGGCUGGGCUGGGUUUUUGGGGAUGGCACAGACCAAGUGUGCCUCCCUUGGGUGUUCCCAAGCCAGAAGUUGCUUUUGAUGACAUUAGUUGAAGUUAGCACUCCUCUGGCUAUUGAGUCUCUGCUCCUGGCCAUGAUUUAGUUAAAUCACUGUUCUGCACUAACCUUUGCCAGCAGAAUGUCUUUAGGUAACUCUAUACAACAGUAGGAACAUGAGAUAUCACCUUUGCCAACAUUAAUAGUGGACCCUAACCCUAAUCCUUCAGGUUUUGGCUAAAAAAAUGGUCACAUGUAGGUCAUGGCCUGGGAAAGUGAGGGAGGGAGGGAAGGAGGAGGCUGCUUUUCUGCCUGGGUGCUUAAAUUUCAUCCUUUUCCACAAAGCUACUGCUGUAAUAGCAUUUGCUACGGUUACUGCUGCUGUCAUGCUUGCAGUAAAUGUAUUAACCCUGCUAUGAAACUACUGGUACAGGUAAUGAAUGAUGAUAUAAUUGAAGUGGUUUGUGUCAAGGUUUCCGGGUGACCUUAAUUUUCACAUAUUCCUGAAUUUACUUUUCUUUAAGGACUGGGUGCCUUAAUAUCUCCUACUUUGUGUGUGUGUUAUCCUUCAUUGUACAGGAUUCAAACCUGAAGUCACAUAAUAGCAAUGUCUAUAAUACUCAACUGCCUCCUGCAUCACAAUCACAGCCUUAAGACAGAUGUUUCUGGGCGCACAUGGAGCCUGGGUACCAUGUACCCAGGAACCCUGCCUCAUCCCAGCCUAUGCCUCUAAACCAGCUUCCCACAGUGAUGCCUUUCCUGAUGAAUUAAAAAGCAUUAGUGUCUCUGGGACAUGACAAUGGCAAAGUGCUGGAACAUAGAUGUUAUGAUCAGGGACCUUAUUGAUGCUUGUGUCACAGAUCUUAUUUAUGCUUAUAAAUAUCUCAAAGGUGGGUGUCAAAAGCAUGGGACCAGACUCUUUUCAGUGGUGCCAAACGACAGCAUGUGCAUGACAGCAAGCACAAAGUGAAACAUAGGAGGUUCUGCCUAAACAUGAGGAAAAACUACUUUGAGGGUGCCAGAGCACUGGAACAGGCUGCCCAGAAAGUAUGUGGAGUCUCUUUCUCUGGAGACAUUCAAAACCAUUCUGGAUGCCUUCCUGUGCAAUCUGCUCUGGGUGACCUUCCUUUAACAGGUGGGUUGGACUAGAUGAUCUCCAGAGGUCCCUUCCAACCCCAACCAUUCUGUUUAAUUCUGUGUGUGAUCUGGUAGUCUUUCAAAUUUUCCCUCACCUUUGACAAAGCUGGACUUUCCCUGCAGCUCUGCUGAGAGCAGCUGAGGAAUGAGUCCAUGGGCACUUGUAUAUGAGAUGAGCAGACAUGAGAGGAUCUGGCUGCUAUAGUCCCUGCCUAUUUUAUCUGCCUGGUAAGGCUUGAAUAUAACUGAGAGCUUGGUUCCUGGACCAAGCAUGGCUUAAGGUUCCUGGCAUGUGUAAUUCCUCGUUGCUCCCAUUAGCUGAAAUCCCAAUGCUGCACUUGUGCACCUCAACACUACACUAAACAUCCCAGAUUGCUCCAUGUUGUGGGGAUGCAACUGAAGAAAUAGUUGGAUCCUGCAAAAUACAACAUGUGCAGAUAAGCUGUGACAUACUGCAGUUCCUGCAAGUGGAUAGCUGGUCCAGAGACUAAGAAACUGUUAGAUUAUGUGUUGGGGCUGUUUUUAAUAGAUAAUUUUUAUGCAACCUCAUCUCCCUGUGCCUGAAACUAUCAACUUUAAUGCCCCAGGAGUGUGAUUUCAAGGAACUGGGAAAGGGGAAGGACAGCAGGAAAGGAAUGGUAUCCUCGCCCCCACGUCUGUUAGAUGCUGCUUCUCCGUGGUGCGACAUGAGAGUAUAGGUGCUCACACGGCAAUAUCUCAGGACCAUAAGUUCUGCCUCAGACCUUUGUAUGAUCUAGAGCCAGAGAGCUACCACCUCUGUGUUGUUCUCCCCCAAGGGAAGAGGGUUGGCUUCCUGUGCCUUGGGGCCAUCCAUCUGCUCCAGGGAUUUUGGCAAUGGUCAGCUUGCUCCAUCAUGUGAGAACUGGUAAAAGAAGAAACCAAGUAAUAGAUGUCUCAGGAGGGCCUGGCAGCUUAUGGACACCUCUCCUGUUGAUCCCAAAAUAGGAGGGGAACAAGAAAACUGUCUUACCCAUGAUACAGCCAGUUCCUGAGACUCAAUAUUGUGAUUUUCUAUGGACCUCCAGGGUCAUCCAAGUCCCCUGACUAGCAGAUGAAUCAAAGGCUUAAUCUUCGCUUUUGGAUACAUGCACCACUCACUGCAAUUGGGCCUUCAGAGCUGUCUGCUCUCUUUUUAAUCACUUGAUAAAAGCCAUGAGGUAGUUUUAUAUCUGACUGUGGAUGCUACCUACAUCUGAAGUUCCAGCAGGCUUAAAAACAAGCUACUUGUAUAGACUGACGUAACAAUUCCUGUGAAUGCUUAAAAGAAGGAAAAAUUCUCAGUAAUGAUUUUUUUGUUUUGUUUUGUGUUCAGACUUUCUACAUUGUAUAUGUAAAUUGGUUUGUUGUUUUGUUUUUCCCCCAGUACCGUGGUUUCAGGAUUGCUUAUCUUUCUCCGGUGAUAUGCUAUGAUUACUCACUGUGUUUGCGUUUGUUUUGGGUGCGUACAUUUUAAAUCAGGAAUAAAAAGUACUGAUUGUUA